AAUUAAUUUGGUCUGAAGUAAUUCAAAAGGUGAGCUUGUGUUUACUUCUAAUUACUAAAAUUAAAUAAAGACUUCAGUAAAAAAAAUCUUGUAUCUAAUAGCAGAAUUUGAGCAAUUGGGAUAAUGAAUUAAGGAAAAUAUCUCAUUUGAGAAAGAAAAUCCUUAACUGAAUAAAAAUUUAAAUAUGAAAAGUAAUUUAAAGGGUAAUCAUAAGGCGAUGCUUUGGGGAAAUCUCCAUUUGUAGCUGUUUUCUGUGCUCAGGCACAUUUUAAUUUCAUGCUUUUAUACUUUCCAUAUGGAUAAUUGUAAUAUCGAUUCAUUCAUGUUUUAUCCAUGGUUCAUGUUUCAAAUAAUCUAAUGUGCAGUAUAUAAUGGAACUUUAGUUUUGCUAAACAUUAGUCCUUGUUAAACUAAAAAUGGGUUUUUCUCAAGGGUGGAACUGUAUCCUGUUAGAGACCUCAAUUGUAAUCCUGAUGGAAGUUAAUUGUUUCUUUUCAAAUCUUUCAGUGUUAUAUAAAGAGAUUUCUUACCAAGCAACUAUAGUUAUGUAAGUUGUAUCAGUGAGAGAAACAAAGCUACAUAACCAGUUAUAUUGAUAAUAAUGUACUAAAGGGGGAAAGCCCAGUGAAACUACUCUAGAAACUCUGUGUAGGGUUAUCAACUUUUUGUUCAUCCUGAAAAAUGUCUGGAUGGAGUCCUCAACUUGGAGCUGGGGAGACCUUGGAUCCCAUCUCUGACACUUCUUCCUUUGUCUGACUAUGAGCAAAUCACUUAACUUUUUGGAGAUCCAUUUUUCUUAUCAAUAAACUGGAACUGAUAAUAGCUAUAGUAUUUACUUCAUGGAUAUGAAUGAGAUAAUGUACAUAAAGUAGUUUAGAGACUCUAAAAUGACAUCUAAAUCUUCUUUUCUUUCUUAAAAAAAAAAAACCCUUAUCUUCCAUCUUGGAAUUAAUAGUGUGUAAUGGUUCCAAGGCAGAAGAGCGAUAGGCAAUGGGGUCACACAGCUGGGAAGUGUCUGAGGCCAGAUUUGAACCCAGGACCUCCCAUCUCUAAGACUGGCUCUCAAAUCCACUGAGCUACCCAGCUGCCCUCUAAGUCUUCUUUUCUAUCUCCCAUCACCUUCUUAGGAUCAUUGAGCUAGAGCUGGAAGGAAGUUUGGAGAAACUGAAGCAUAGAGGUUGAUGAACUCGCCCAAAGUUACACACAGGUAGUAAAAUGGCAGACUCUCCCUGUCUCUGGAUAGAAGUACCUCUAUUCCUGGAUUUUUCCCAACUGUGCGCUCUACCUGGAUUCCUGUGAUCCUGUCAUUGAACAGAAGGAUUUAAGGGGAGCAGUUUGAACUAAAGGCUGAUCUUUAGGGCACUAGCCUGAAGAGAUGGGUCCAACUAGCUCUGAAGGUAAAUGAGAGACUCCUACCUUGUAAAUAUCAGAUAGUGUGGGACCAACCUGAAUCAUCACUGGGCUUCUUUAAUGAAGGCUGUAAUGGAUGGUACUGUCCACUCUGAAGAAUGAGAUCAUUUCCGAGACUGUACCAGUAAUGCACGCAAGGGCAAAUAUCAGCUCUCAUUUUCCUCAUUUGAUCAUUAAAUAAAUGAUCAAGGGUUCAUUUAAUGACACUAACAUAUUCCAAUUUUGACUACUCCAAGUGGAGAGAAUGCUAAUGUCAAAAGCUAGACUAUUGGAUUGCACUCUUGGGAGACCCAAAUAACUCACUUUAGGCAGGUUUCCAACUUUGCUCAUUAUCUAGAUAUCUUACCAACUCAGCUGUUAUUAAAAUGAAUGGGAGAAAGGUCUUGAUUCAUUUCAACAAGAGUCAGCAAGACAAAAGCAAAGGAAUAAAGAAAAGAUGCUGCAUUCACUAACCUUUUAUAAAAGUCCUUUCAUUUCCUCUCUGAAAUAAAUUCUUUCCAAUUAGAUUCAAUUAGCAUGACCUUUUUGAUCUAGUA